rnacentral:rRNA from 1 species
UACGUAGGGUGCGAGCGUUAAUCGGAAUUACUGGGCGUAAAGCGUGCGCAGGCGGUUUUGUAAGCCAGAUGUGAAAUCCCCGGGCUUAACCUGGGAAUGGCAUUUGGGACUGCAAGGCUGGAGUGCGGCAGAGGAGACUGGAAUUCCUGGUGUAGCAGUGAAAUGCGUAGAGAUCGGAUGAAGACGCACGAGGUCGGAGG